ensembl:snoRNA
UGUGAAUGUACAGUUGAGUUGUUGCAAUAGCAACAGUAUAACUAUGACUACACUGAGACACAGGUUAUGCUUACAUCACAGCAAAUAUACUGCAGUGGUAACAACGAGACCUGUAACAUUU